CAGAUAUAAUUGCAUCAGCCAUAUCUCUUGGAAUACUAGUUCAGCUUAAGUCAACAGAAUAAGGAGCCAUACCACACACAUACUGAAAACAAAUAUUACACGUUUCACAUUAAAAGUUCAUUUGGUUCUAAUAGGAUAACGUAACAGAAAGAGACUGUAACGAACACCUAUAUAGAAAGAAUACCACAACCAAGAGCACUGUGAAAAGAAUAAUUUGAAAUUCCCGACCUACUCAAUUACUUGACAGCAAAAAGUGAAUGCUGUAAUCCAUUAUAUUGACUAAAGUAGUUACCUAGAAGAAUAGAAUGGCUAGAAAAACAGAAUCACAACAAAAUCAUCAAAGGCCUUCAAUCUUUUUCGUUUUUUUUUUUUUCGAUAAUGUGAAAGUCUCAAAGGCCUUCAAUCUUUUAAUCACAGAAUUGUUGUAGCUAGCCAAUUAUUUUCUUUUUGUAGUCCAUUGGAUACACAUGCAUCUUGCCUUAUCAGAGGUAUCUAAACUAAUUUUUCCAUAGCAUAAAAAAGUUUAAUUGUUUGUCUAAAAGAGAUGAAUCUAAAACUUUUUUUCUUAUUUUAAUAGACCAUAACACUAUUGUAAGGCAAUGCAAUGACUUUGGACUAAACAUCUGUAAUUCCUACACUACAAUGUGGCAUCAAAA